UAACCUGCCCAAGAGAUCGGGAUAACACCUGGAAACAGAUGCUAAUACCGGAUAACAACAGAUGAUGCCUAUCAACUGUUUAAAAGAUGGUUCUGCUAUCACUCUGGAUGGACCUGCGGUGCAUUAGCUAGUUGGUAGGGUAACGGCCUACCAAGGCGAUGAUGCAUAGCCGAGUUGAGAGACUGAUCGGCCACAUUGGGACUGAGACACGGCCCAAACUCCUACGGGAGGCAGCAG
rnacentral:rRNA from 1 species